UGGCUCUCGCAUCGAUGAAGAACGCAGCGAAAUGCGAUAAGUAAUGUGAAUUGCAGAAUUCAGUGAAUCAUCGAAUCUUUGAACGCACCUUGCGCUCCUUGGUAUUCCGAGGAGCAUGCCUGUUUGAGUGUCAUUAAAUUCUCAAGCUUUUUAUCAGUUUGGCUGAUUAAAUUGCUUGGAUGUGGAAGUUUGCUGGUUUCUUUGUUGAACUCAGCUCUUCUAAAAUGCAUUAGCUGGUUGCUUUGUAGACCAAGUCUAUUGGUAUGAUAAAUAUCUAUGCCAUUGACUGUUUACUGUAUUAGCACUGCUUCUAAUUGUCUAUAAACUUGGACUUUAAAUGAUAAUUUGACCUCAAAUCAGGUAGGACUACCCGCUGA
rnacentral:misc_RNA from 1 species